rnacentral:tRNA from 1 species
UCGGGUAUGGUGUAACGGCUAACAUUGCCGCCUCUCACGAGUUCGCGGCAGCUCGGGGUUCGAUUCCCCGUACCCGAA